UCAAAGGGUAUGCACAAUUUCAUAGCCCUUUAAGUACAAAUGGAAUCUCAAUAUUCUCCUGCUGAAGAAACUUGUCCUUCUUGACUGACUCCCCAAUCUCAAGGUCAGUGCACCUCCAGGUGCCAGGAGUCACAGUCACAUAUUUAAAGCAAGAAAAGACCUCAGAAUCAACUGUUCUUGUCCUCUUAUUUUACAGAUAAGGAGGCUGAAGUCCAGCAAAGCAACUUACCCAGGAUAAGAGCUGAUAAAUGGUGCAGAAACUAUAAUCCAGAGAAGAUGGCAGCCGGUCCAGGGUCACCCAAUGGGGAUAUGCCAGAAGAAGCACUUGAAUCCACUGUUUCUGGAUUGGAGGCUGGCUUUCCAGACACCUCCUGAUGCUGCCUCUACUACAAUCUCGCACAUGAAUAGAGAGCUUAAGCACACUG